AAAAAGUAUGAAAAUAGGGUAAACGACAGCCAAUCCCACAUGGUUGGCCUUUCUUCUUUAUUUGGCUUAAAUCUCUUACCCAUCUCUUGAUCAUUUGUUCCUUCUCACUCAGUCAUCAAUUCUCCAUCUAAGCCUCCCAACUCAUCUCACAAGAAAAGAUUACAUACAGUAAGGUUAAGACAGUAUGGCAGCUGAGGCACCUAGCUGGGCAGAUCAAUGGGGUGCUGGAGGUAUUGGAGUCAUGGACGAUGACAACACUACUACCAAGCAAGACAGCAGCACCAAGAAGACAGAUGCUAAAACUGGGUUUGGAAAAGCCAAAGCAGCAGCAUCAGUAGGAGCUCAGAAGAUCAUGAGUGGGGCAUCCGGUAGCUUCAAAUGGGUCAAGAAUCAAUGCCAGAAAAAGGGUUCUUCUAAAUCACCAUCGAUCAAAUAGUUUCUUUUUUCUUCUAUCUUAUGCUUAAUCAAGUCCUUCAGAUGGUCUUCUCCAUUGUCAAAUUCAGAUCCUAAGUAUGAUCUCGUACUCUUUUUCUUCCAAUACUAUAGACUCGUUUCUGUUGUCCA